GAUGAAGAACGUAGUGAAAUGCGAUAAGUAAUGUGAAUUGCAGAAUUCAGUGAAUCAUCGAAUCUUUGAACGCACAUUGCGCCCGUCAGUAUUCUGGCGGGCAUGCCUGUUCGAGCGUCAUUACGCCCCUCAAGUCCCCUGUGGACUUGGUGUUGGGGAUCGGCGAGGCUGGUUUUCCAGCACAGCCGUCCCUUAAAUUAAUUGGCGGUCUCGCCGUGGCCCUCCUCUGCGCAGUAGUAAAACACUCGCAACAGGAGCCCGGCUCGGUCCACUGCCGUAAAACCCCCCAACUUUUUAUAGUUGACCUCGAAUCAGGUAGGACUACCCGCUGAACUUAAGCAUAUCAAUAAGCGGAGGA
rnacentral:misc_RNA from 1 species